rnacentral:rRNA from 1 species
AUUGAACGCUGGCGGCGUGCCUAACACAUGCAAGUCGAGCGGUAACAGGUGUAGCAAUACAUGCUGACGAGCGGCGGACGGGUGAGUAACGCUUGGGAAUCUGCCUAUUAGUGGGGGACAACCCGGGGAAACUCGGGCUAAUACCGCAUACGCUCUACGGAGGAAAGCCGGGGACCGCAAGGCCUGGCGCUAAUAGAUGAGCCCAAGUCGGAUUAGCUAGUUGGUAGGGUAAUGGCCUACCAAGGCGACGAUCCGUAACUGGUCUGAGAGGACGACCAGUCACACCGGAACUGAGACACGGUCCGGACUCCUACGGGAGGCAGCAGUGGGGAAUAUUGGACAAUGGGCGAAAGCCUGAUCCAGCGACGCC